rnacentral:sRNA from 1 species
GCCAGGCACAGUGGCGCAUGCCUGUAAUCCCAGUGGCUUCGGAGGCUGAGGCAGGUGGAUCACAAGUUCGUGGCCUGUCUCAU